rnacentral:misc_RNA from 1 species
AGAGAGACUUCUUCUUGGCGUUCAAGUUCAUUAAGUACAGCAAUCAUAUCCAUUUUAAGAAGUCUAAGGACAUGUGUUUUAACAAACUUGUCAAGCUUUUCUUCAUCAUCUUUGAAUCUUCUUAACCCAAGAAUCACAAAAAGUGCUUCUUUUCCAAUCAAUUUCUUUCCCCUCCAAAGUGACCCUCUUGGUCUUCCAUCAUGGUACCACCUCACAUCCCUCACUGAACUUCUAGAAAACUCAGGAACCCAUGAUGGAGAACAUGAAGAAGAAGAUGUUAAGGUGGAAGAAAUUGAUGGUAAUGGAGAAACUGAAAGGUGUUUAAGAAGCAAAGAUGGAAUUUUUAGUCUUGAAAUGGUUCUAAUUGCCAUUUUUGAAAGAUGGCUAUGAAAGGGAAGUCUGUACGAUGGUUAUGGUGGCGGAGGCGAUGGAUACAGAGGCGCCGGUGAUGCUCCGGCGGAAGAAUCAG